rnacentral:rRNA from 1 species
AUUGAACGCUGGCGGCAUGCCUAACACAUGCAAGUCGAACGAGUGGCGGACUGGUGAGCAAUGUCUGGGCAACUGCCUGACGGAGGGGGAUAACUACUGGAAACGGUAGCUAAUACCGCUUACCAUCCGUUCUGCCCAGAGGGGAUUAGCUUGUGGGUGGGGUAACGGCUCACCAAGGCGACGAUCCCUAGCUGGUCUGAGAGGAUGACCAGCCACACUGGAACUGAGACACGGGCCGGACUCCUACGGGAGGCAGCAGUGGGGAAUAGUGGACAAUGGGCGCAAGCCUGAUGCAGCCAUGCCGCGUGUGUGAAGAAGGCCUUCGGGUUGUAAAGUACUGUCAGCGGGGAGGCGUUACCCGCAGAGGAAGCACCGGCUAACUCCGUGCCAGCAGCCGCGGUAAUUC